rnacentral:rRNA from 1 species
GACGGAGGGGGCUAGCGUUGUUCGGAAUUACUGGGCGUAAAGGGUGCGUAGGCGGCCGAUUAAGUUAGACGUGAAAGCCCAGAGCUUAACUUUGGAAUUGCGCCUAAUACUGAUCGGCUAGAGUUCGGUAGAGGAAAGUAGAAUUCCUAGUGUAGAGGUGAAAUUCGUAGAUAUUAGGAAGAAUACCAGAGGCGAAGGCGGCUUUCUGGACCGAUACUGACGCUGAGGCACGAAAGCGUGGGGAGCAAACAGG